rnacentral:tRNA from 1 species
GGCCUUGUGGCGCAACGGUAGCGCGUCUGACUCCAGAUCAGAAGGUUGUGUGUUCAAAUCACGUCAGGGUCA